rnacentral:rRNA from 1 species
GGCUUUGUUUGCGCAGGAUAGGUGGGAGGCGUUGAAAGUUUUCUUGCGGGAAGAUUUGAGCCAUUGGUGAGAUACCACUCUAACAAUGCUAGGAUUCUAACCCUAUGUCGUUAUCCGGCUAGGGGACAGUUUCAGGUGGUCAGUUUGACUGGGGCGGUCGCCUCCUAAAAGGUAACGGAGGCGUGUAAAGGUUCCCUCAGGCUGGUUGGAAAUCAGUCGUAGAGUGUAAAGGCAUAAGGGAGCUUGAUUGUGAGACCUACAAGUCGAACAAAGACGAAAGUCGGCCUUAGUGAUCCGGCGGUACCGAGUGGAAGGGCCGUCGCUCAACGGAUAAAAGUUACUCUAGGGAUAACA